CACAGAACUGUGAUCUCGAUCGAGACCAUUGAAUUAAUCAGUGGACUUGAAGAUAUCGGGGGAUCGUGAAGAUUUUACCGGAGAGUAUUUGCACUCGGAAGGGUUAAGAUUAAUGUUAAAUAAUCGGACAUAGUACGAUAAGGUUGUAUGUCUAAAGGGAAACAGCCCAGAACAAGAGUUAAUAAGGUUCCAAAAUUAUUGUUGAGUGAAAUAAAGGAUGUGUCUUUAAAUACAAUCAGGAAAUAGGCUUAGAAGCGGCCAUUUUUUGAAGACCUCGUAACAGAGCACUGAUUAAUAUAGAAGAUCACACCGAAAAUAUAACGGAUCUAAAUAAUAUACCGAAACCUUGUCCAUAUAUAUUAUUAAAUGUAUAUGGGGUAGCGGAACAUUGGAUAAAUCUAAGAUUUACUCUUUUUAAGAUUUAAGAAAAAAGAUAAUCCAAGAGAGAAUGCUGAUAUGAGUAACGAAAAAGAAAAAUUUUAAAAAAUUUUGCUCGCCUAAAGCUUAUGGAAUACAAUUAAAUUUACGGCCUCUAAGUAUAUUAUACGAUGAGUAAUAAAGUUCAUACUUACAAAACCAACUUAUGUUAGGUUGGUUCUGGAAAUUAAGUUAAUUUUACCAUACCGUACCUAGAAACUACCCCAAGUAAG
rnacentral:rRNA from 1 species